CCGAGUGCGGGCCCUCGCGGCCCAACCUCCCACCCUUGUCUCUCUACACCUGUUGCUUUGGCGGGCCCACCGGGGCCACCUGGUCGCCGGGGGACGCACGUUCCCGGGCCCGCGCCCGCCGAAGCGCUCUGUGAACCCUGAUGAAGAUGGGCUGUCUGAGUACGAUAUGAAAAUUGUCA
rnacentral:misc_RNA from 1 species